UAGUGUCAUGCUAAAAGCGAGAAUACCCAUACUGGCCCUUUUUUUUUUCUCUCAUAAUUUUUCAAUGAAAAAUAAUAUAGGAGUGUUUUGUUUGAAGACAAAGUAGGAAUUGAUGAAACAAAAAAAUGACAUAUUACUUGUUGUAAUCAAUACUUUCAUAAAUGAUUAGAAUGAUUGUUGUUUGAAGCUAUAUGUGUUUGAAUAUGUGAGCAUGUGUAGACUGUAAAAGCAAAAGUGGCUGCCUGAUUAUUUAGUAAGCUCUAUAGUAGUGGCCUUCAACCUUUUUAUAGACCACUGCCCCCCUUUUCGCUUUUUUGUCUUUUAAAAAAAUCCGCCUGCGGCCCCCCCCCCCCCCCC